rnacentral:misc_RNA from 1 species
UGCUCCGCGCUUCCCACCGGCAUCGCCACCAGCUGAGCCAUCUCCGCCUGAUGAUUCUCCAAUCACCUUGUUGCUAUUAUUACCGCUAAUCCCAUUACCCUUCUUGGACAAUUCAGUCUUAAUCCCAUUAUUAUUCACAUUAACAACCUCAUCAAGGAGCUCCUGAGCGGCCUUCAAGUACUUGGAGCUCAACAACACCCCUUGAAUACCAGACACCCCAUUAUUAGUCACCCCUGAACCUGAGGAUGCUGACCCACCAGAGACCCUAAUAUCUUCACCUGACACCGCUUGAGCCUGUGACCCAUAACCCGGUUGCUGCUGUGACGAAAGGCUCAAAGAGAGUCCUUGCUGAGCGCGUGGAGUUUCACGCGCAGCCGUGGAAGGGUCAACUGGGUUGUAGAGAUUGUAAUGAAUCCUCGGAAUAAGUCCAUGCAAAGUAGAAGUGUCAUGGGAGUUAGGGUCCAAAGGUAUGCCGACAAAUUGCUGGGCGUUGGGAUGCGCGUGAGAGAGGUGCGGUGGAGGAGAAAGGUUGUUAGCGGCGGAGUUGAGGAAGAGGAGGUUGUUGGAAGACGGUGGCGGUGGAGUAUCGGAGUAUUGGACAUAAGUAGGGUUCAUGAGGACGAGGGUUUGAAGUCCUUCUGCUGAAGCUGAAGCUGCAGCUGCUGCUUGGAUUUCCGGAUUCCCAUGAAAGUACGUCGCCAUCGGAUUUGUUUUCUUGGGAAAAUUAUAGACUUUUUCUCUGGACUUGCGAUAGUGUGGAUGCGUUGAUCAACCCAUCAAAGAAAGAGUUGAAAUCGAUGGGAAUACUCUUACAGGGGGAAACUCUGAUAUUCUGUUUUCAGUGAAAGCCUGCUGGGAGGGAAGAGACAAGAAAAGAAUGAGGAAUUCUGAAAGCAAAUGAAGAUGAAAGAAUAUAUAGCUAUGCAAAUUCAUGGGUCCAAGAACUGAAGUUUGAAGAAAUAUGAGAUCUUGAAAGAAUGAAUUAUUGUGUUGCUUCUUCUUCUUCUUGUUUAACUACAAAUUAUGGUAUUACUGCUUCAUCGUCCUCUAGAGUAAGAACAGAACAUCUAGAAGAAGAAGAACAAGAACA